GAUGAACGCUGGCGGCGGGCCUAAUACAUGCAAGUCGAGCGAACAGACGAGGAGCUUGCUCCUCUGACGUUAGCGGCGGACGGGUGAGUAACACGUGGAUAACCUACCUAUAAGACUGGGAUAACUUCGGGAAACCGGAGCUAAUACCGGAUAAUAUAUUGAACCGCAUGGUUCAAUAGUGAAAGACGGUUUUGCUGUCACUUCUAGAUGGAUCCGCGCCGCAUUAUCUAGUUGGUAAGGUAACGGCUUACCAAGGCGACGAUGCGUAGCCGACCUGAGAGGGUGAUCGGCCACACUGGAACUGAGACACGGUCCAGACUCCUACGGGAGGCAGCAGUAGGGAAUCUUCCGCAAUGGGCGAAAGCCUGACGGAGCAACGCCGCGUGAGUGAUGAAGGUCUUCGGAUCGUAAAACUCUGUUAUUAGGGAAGAACAAAUGUGUAAGUAACUAUGCACUUCUUGACGGUACCUAAUCAGAAAGCCACGGCUAACUACGUG
rnacentral:rRNA from 1 species